rnacentral:rRNA from 1 species
AUUGAACGCUGGCGGCAUGCCUUACACAUGCAAGUCGAACGGUAACAGGUCUUCGGACGCUGACGAGUGGCGAACGGGUGAGUAAUGUAUCGGAACGUGCCCAGUCGUGGGGGAUAACGUAUCGAAAGCUACGCUAAUACCGCAUACGAUCUAUGGAUGAAAGCGGGGGACCGUCGGGCCUCGCGCGAUUGGAGCGGCCGAUAUCAGAUUAGGUAGUUGGUGGGGUAAAGGCCCACCAAGCCGACGAUCUGUAGCUGGUCUGAGAGGACGACCAGCCACACUGGGACUGAGACACGGCCCAGACUCCUACGGGAGGCAGCAGUGGGGAAUUUUGGACAAUGGGCGCAAGCCUGAUCCAGCAAUGCCGCGUGCAGGAUGAAGGCCUUCGGGUUGUAAACUGCUUUUGUACGGAGCGAAAAGGCUCUCUCUAAUACAGGGGGUUCAUGACGGUACCGUAAGAAUAAGCACCGGCUAACUACGUGCCAGCAGCCGCCGUAAUAC